AAGUCGAACGAAGUCUUCGGACUUAGUGGCGCACGGGUGCGUAACGCGUGGGAAUCUGCCCUUGGGUACGGAAUAACUCAGAGAAAUUUGUGCUAAUACCGUAUAAUGUCUUCGGACCAAAGAUUUAUCGCCCAAGGAUGAGCCCGCGUAAGAUUAGCUAGUUGGUGAGGUAAGAGCUCACCAAGGCGACGAUCUUUAGCUGGUCUGAGAGGAUGAUCAGCCACACUGGGACUGAGACACGGCCCAG
rnacentral:rRNA from 1 species